CCUACGGGAGGCAGCAGUGGGGAAUAUUGGACAAUGGGCGGAAGCCUGAUCCAGCAACGCCGCGUGAGGGAUGACGGCCUUCGGGUUGUAAACCUCUUUCACUUUUGACGAAGCCCUCCUUUUGGGGGGUGACGGUAGGUUGAGAAGAAGCACCGGCCAACUACGUGCAGCAGCCGCCGGUAAU
rnacentral:rRNA from 1 species